GGCGAACGCUGGCGGCAGGCCUAACACAUGCAAGUCGAACGAUGAACCCGGAGCUUGCUCCGGUGGAUUAGUGGCGAACGGGUGAGAAACACGUGAGUAACCUGCCCUUGACUCUGGGAUAACUGCGGGAAACUGUAGCUAAUACCGGAUACGACCCUCGGCGGCAUCGCCAGGGGGUGGAAAGAAUUUCGGUCAAGGAUGGACUCGCGGCCUAUCAGCUAGUUGGUGAGGUAACGGCUCACCAAGGCGACGACGGGUAGCCGGCCUGAGAGGGGGGCCGGCCACACUGGGACUGAGACACGGCCCAGACUCCUACGGGAGGCAGGAGGGGGGAAUAUUGCACAAUGGGCGCAAGCCUGAUGCAGCAACGCCGCGUGAGGGAUGACGGCCUUCGGGUUGUAAACCUCUUUUAGUAGGAAAGAAGCGAAAGUGACGGUACCUGCAGAAAAAGCACCGGCUAACUACGUGCCAGCAGCCGCAGUAA
rnacentral:rRNA from 1 species